UACGGGGGGGGCAAGCGUUGUUCGGAAUUACUGGGCGUAAAGGGCUCGUAGGCGGCCAACUAAGUCAUACGUGAAAUCCCCCGGCUUAACCGGGGAACUGCGUCUGAUACUGGAUGGCUUGAGUUCGGGAGAGGGAUGCGGAAUUCCAGGUGUAGCGGUGAAAUGCGUAGAUAUUCGGAAGAACACCAGUGGCGAAGGCGGCUCACUGGACCGGUAUUGACGCUGAGGUGCGAAAGCGUGGGGAGCAAACAGG
rnacentral:rRNA from 1 species